UCUCCGCUCACGUGGAGUUCUGACCCGUCCUGUCCGCGUGCUGGCUGACUUGACUGAACGAGCCAGACAGUCAACGACACUCACAUCUCAACUGCCAGCUGUGUGGGUCUGGGGCAUCCACCGGUUUAUUAUAUUUAUUCAUACCGAAUAGAUCAAACUAGCUAGCAAGCAAAGUUGCGAUCUAACCAGAGAAGGUGUUGUCAUAUACGUUGAUCCGACCAAAUCAAACAUUUAGGCGCAUAUUUCCCCGUACGAAAGCCCUUCUGUACAGUACAGUAAGGGCGAACUUUGGCGAAAUACACGUUUGUUUUUGAACAAUAACAUUUCAAAGCAUCAGAUCUUGGUGAGAUUUUGGACAAGCCAAGAUGUCAGAGGAACUGGAGCACAUUCUCUCUCAGCUCACUCAACCUGACAAUACGAUUAUUCAGCAGGCUACGGCGCAGCUGAAACAAGCUUUUAAAGACCCAGCCAUCAUCCCUGCAUUAUGUGCUGUCAUGACCGGUUCACAGAACCCACAGAUCCGCCAGUCAGCUGCGGUGAUGUUGAGGAUGAGGGUGAAAAAGCACUGGAAGAAGAUCAGCCCUGAUCACAGAGAGAGUCUGAAGGCAGUGGUGCUGCAGGCUUUCACCCAGGAGACAGAGCACGCUGUGCGCCACUCCCUGUCCCAGCUGAGCGCUGUGCUGGUGAAGCACGAGAGCCCAGACCGCUGGCCUGCCCUGCUGGAUCUGCUCAACCAGUCCACCAGCUGCAACAACCCGCAUGACAGACAGGUGGGCCUCCUGCUCCUCAGUAAAGUGGUGGACUCGAACCCGGAGCCCUUCAAGCCGCACUACCGCCAGCUGCUGCAGCUGUUUGGCACCGUGCUGCAGGACCUGAACAACCCCACCGCCAUUUAUUACUGCAUCCUCACCCUCACCUCCAUGACGGCCUACACAGGCACCGAGGAGAUGAAUCUCAUGCGCUCCCUUGUUCCCAAACUGAUCACUGCUCUCAAACACCUCAUCAAGGGUGACCAGGACCAGGCCAGCGAGGCCAUGGAGGUGUUGGAUGAGCUAAUGGAGAGUGAAGUAUCCAUCAUCGUCCCUCACAUCAACGACAUUGUCCACUUCUGUCUGGAGAUGAGUGCUGACACCACUCUCAGUGAUUCCCUGCGUGUGAAGGCUCUCUCCUGCAUCGCUUUCCUCAUUCGGCUCAAAAGCAAGACUGUGCUGAAGCAGAAGCUGCUGAAUCCCAUCCUGCAAACAGUGUUUCCUGUGCUGAGCGCAGCGCCCCCUCCUGGCCAGGAGGACCCGGAGGACGAGGAGAACGACGACGAGGACGAUGUGGAUAACGAGAGUCCCAAACACUUCGCUGCUCAGGUGAUUGAUACCAUGGCCCUCCACAUGCCACCAGAGAAACUGUUUCAGCAGCUGAUGCCCCUCACCCAGGCGUGCCUGGCCAGUGACAAGCCGUAUGAGAAGAAGGCAGGCCUGAUGUGUCUGGCUGUGCUGGCUGAGGGCUGUGCUGACCACAUCCGCACCAAGAUGCUGUCGUCCAUGCUGCAGACAGUGUGCCAGAGUCUGUCAGACAGUAACCAGGUGGUUCGCAGUGCUGGGCUCUUCGCUCUGGGACAGUUCUCUGAGCACUUGCAGCCGGAGGUGAGUAAGUACUCUGCAGAGCUGAUGCCCCUGCUGCUGGGGUACAUGUCAGGCCUGAACCAGGCCAAGAUCGGACACGUCACCAAGGCCUUCUACGCCCUGGAGAACUUCCUGGAGAACCUGGGGGAGGAGAUCCAGCCCUACCUGCCCACCCUGAUGGACACCAUGCUGUCUGCUCUGAACAAUGCUGACAACCUGAAGCUAAAAGAGCUGGCUGUCUCUGCUAUAGGAGCCAUAGCUAACGCUGCUAAGGAGCUGCUGGUGCCCUACUUCCUGCCUGUCAUCGACAGUCUGAAGGGCUUCCUGACUAACACCCGGGACGAGAUGCGCUCUCUGCAGACCCAGGCCCUGGACACCCUGUCGGUGCUGGCUCGCACCGUGGGCCACGACGUGUUCAGCUCCCUGGCUGCAGAGUGCGUCCAGCUGGGCCUCAACCUCAUCGACGCCGUGGACGACCCAGACCUGCGACGCUGCACGUACAGCCUGUUCUCUGCUGUGUCCAGUGUCAGUCCAGCCUGCCUCAGCCCCCACCUCACCACCAUCACCACCACCAUGCUGCUGUCUCUCAGGUCCACCGAGGGAGUCACGGCUCACCUGGAGGAAGAGAAGCAGUUUGUCCUGCUGGACGAUGAUGAUGAUGAUGAAGAGGGGGACGCCAUCUUGGAGGAUGAAGUGGAGACAGAUGGACGAGACGUGUCAGGCUUCAGUGUGGAGAACGCCUACAUCGAUGAGAAGGAGGAUGCCUGCGAUGCCCUGGGAGAGAUGGCCUUCAACACAGGAUGUUCCUUCCAGCCCUUCCUGGAGUCCAGCUUCCAGCAGGUGUUCCAGCUGCGGGAUUUCCCCCACGAGGACGUGCGCAGGGCAGCCUACGGGGCCAUGGGACAGUUCUGCAAAGCUCAGCACAAAGUCUGGCAGGAGAAUCCUACUGAGGCCAACCAGCAGGCCCUGCAGAAGCUGCUGGAGGUGGCUCUGCCCAGCUUCCUGGAGGCGGUGCAUGCGGAGCGCGAGCGGCAGGUGGUGAUGGGCGUGCUGGAGGCCAUGAACGGUGUUCUGAAGGCCUGCCAGGGGGAGGCGCUGCGGAGCCCUGGGAGGCUGCAGGAGAUCAGCCAUGCCAUCAGAGACGUGCUGAAGAAGAGGACCACCUGUCAGGAUGGAGGAGGAGGAGAUGAAGCUGAUGAUGACGAGCAGCAGGCCGAGUAUGACGCCAUGCUGCAGGAGUUUGCAGGCGAGGGCAUCCCCCUGCUGGCAUCAGCCGCUCCAGCAGAGCUCUUCUGGCCCUUCCUCAACGAGCUGCUGCCCCUCAUCACCAACAAGGCCGUGAGUCUCCUCGUCACCAUGGAGAUGGGAAGAGCUCGUGCACGGUGGCAGACCGCUCCUUCUCUCUGGGCACGCUCGGAGAGACCCUGCAGGCCCUGGGGGGCGUGGCCGGGGGCCAGGCUGUGGCUGGGCGGCUGGCCAAUCGUCUGCUGCCGGUCCUGGUGGGCGGGGUGAGGGACAGCGAUCCUGAGGUGCGCAACAACAGCGUGUUUGGACUGGGAGCCCUGGCCCAGGCUGCAGGACCCCUCGUCACACAAGACUACCCCAUGAUGCUGUCUCUGUUCUCCAACCUGCUGGCUAAGGAGGCAGACCGCAGGGUCAUCGACAACCUGUGUGCUGCCCUCUGCAGGAUGAUCCUGAGCAACCGGGAGGUCAUUCCUCUGGAGCAGGUCGUUCCUGCGCUGGUGGGCCGUCUGCCCCUGAAGGAAGACCUGGAGGAGAACAAGACAGUGUACAGCUGCCUGGCCAUGCUGUACACCCACAGCCCCGCACUGAUCGUGAGCCAGUUGAAGGCCAUAGUAGCGGCCUCCAGCCAGGUCCUGGGAACCAAGCAGCUGGACGCAGAAAGCCAGGCCACCCUGGUCGUGAUGCUGCGUGACGUCGCCCAGCGCCACGCUGCCGAACUCCAGGGCGCCAUGACAUCACUUCCUGCCGAGCAGAAGACACGGGUGACAGCAGCCAUGGCACAGUCAUAGCACAGACACUCUUCCACUCCUCCGUAAAAGCCAGAAUACAUCAAACACACUUCAAAAAGAGGGACAGGGGUGACAACAUUGACAUUUGGCCAAAUUCCUGCAAACUCCAAAAGCACUGCAAAAUUCGAAUUUAUCAACUUGUAAUAUGAGCUUUUUAAUUUAUACUGUCUGUUUUCUGUGUGAAGUAUUAUUUUAACAAGACAUUUGGUUUCAUGACCAACCUGUAUUGUAUUUGUCUGUUUAUUUUAAUUUCUGGUCUGUUUCUUGCUGUCCCCCUUUGCUGACCGAAAGAUUGAUCUCUAUUCACUGCUGUCCCUUUGGUCAAACUAAUGUGAUUAACAUCUGGCUUUGUUGAAGUGUGAAGCAAUGAACUGAAACUCAUAAAUGCCUUUUUCUCAGA